rnacentral:rRNA from 1 species
UGGGGAAUUUUGGACAAUGGGGGAAACCCUGAUCCAGCCAUCCCGCGUGUGCGAUGAAGGCCUUCGGGUUGUAAAGCACUUUUUGGCAGGAAAGAAAUCGUCGCGGGUUAAUACCCCGCGAAACUGACGGUACCUGCAGAAUAAGCACCGGCUAACUACGUGCCAGCAGCCGCGGUAAUACGUAGGGUGCAAGCGUUAAUCGGAAUUACUGGGCGUAAAGCGUGCGCAGGCGGUUCGGAAAGAAAGAUGUGAAAUCCCAGAGCUUAACUUUGGAACUGCAUUUUUAACUACCGGGCUAGAGUGUGUCAGAGGGAGGUGGAAUUCCGCGUGUAGCAGUGAAAUGCGUAGAUAUGCGGAGGAACACCGAUGGCGAAGGCAGCCUCCUGGGAUAACACUGACGCUCAUGCACGAAAGCGUGGGGAGCAAACAGGAUUAGAUACCCUGGUAGUCCACGCCCUAAACGAUGUCAACUAGCUGUUGGGGGCCUUCGGGCCUUGGUAGCGCAGCUAACGCGUGAAGUUGACCGCCUGGGGAGUACGGUCGCAAGAUU